rnacentral:rRNA from 1 species
UAGGGAAUCUUCCGCAAUGGGCGCAAGCCUGACGGAGCAACGCCGCGUGAGCGAUGAAGGUCUUCGGAUCGUAAAGCUCUGUUGCCAAGGAAGAACAACAGGUAGAGGGAAUGUUAUCUGUUUGACGGUACUUGAGAAGAAAGCCCCGGCUAACUACGUGCCAGCAGCCGCGGUAAUACGUAGGGGGCAAGCGUUGUCCGGAAUUAUUGGGCGUAAAGCGCGCGCAGGCGGUUUACUAAGUCUGAUGUGAAAGGCAAGGGCUCAACCCUUGUUAGCAUUGGAAACUGGUAGACUGGAGUGCAGCAGAGGAAAGUGGAAUUCCACGUGUAGCGGUGAAAUGCGUAGAGAUGUGGAGGAACACCAGUGGCGAAGGCGACUUUCUGGGCUGUAACUGACGCUG